rnacentral:rRNA from 1 species
UGAACGCUGGCGGCGUGCCUAAUACAUGCACGUCGAGCGAACAGACGAGGAGCUUGCUCCUCUGACGUUAGCGGCGGACGGGUGAGUAACACGUGGAUAACCUACCUAUAAGACUGGGAUAACUUCGGGAAACCGGAGCUAAUACCGGAUAAUAUAUUGAACCGCAUGGUUCAAUAGUGAAAGACGGUUUUGCUGUCACUUAUAGAUGGAUCCGCGCCGCAUUAGCUAGUUGGUAAGGUAACGGCUUACCAAGGCAACGAUGCGUAGCCGACCUGAGAGGGUGAUCGGCCACACUGGAACUGAGACACGGUCCAGACUCCUACGGGAGGCAGCAGUAGGGAAUCUUCCGCAAUGGGCGAAAGCCUGACGGAGCAACGCCGCGUGAGUGAUGAAGGUCUUCGGAUCGUAAAACUCUGUUAUUAGGGAAGAACAAAUGUGUAAGUAACUAUGCACGUCUUGACGGUACCUAAUCAGAAAGCCACGGCUAGCUACGUG